rnacentral:lncRNA from 1 species
GAGGUCUGGUUCAUAUUUAGCUGNAGGUUGACCACGGUUAGAACGAGGUGGAAGAUUAUAUUGAACAGUAGUAGACUCAGUGUUUGGUAUGCUGGUGGUUUCAGGCAAACAAGAAUCAAUUUCAUCUAAAUUAGUAUUAUCAGAGAUAGGAUCAGAAGGUACCUCUGAAGGUCAAGAUGAACUUGUGGAGAAGAUUGAGCCAAUUGGUUAUGAUCAGAAGACACUGUAUUAUCCAGAAAAGAAGUGUCCAUAUUUAGGAUUGGCUCACUUGUUGCAGAAUGAUCCUCACACAAUAAUAUAUAAUCAAACAUACUAACAUCAUGAUUAUGCACUUCACUUUCAUUGCCUCCCUGAAGUGGAGAAUCAACAUAAAAAAAUUCAUGCUCAUUAAAUGUCACAUCCAUAGAAAUAUAAAAUUUCUUUCAUGGUGGAUGGUAAGCACGAUAACCUUUUUGAGUUGAUCCAUACAAAAAAAAACACAUUUGAUCGCUCGUUCUUCAAGCUUUGUACGUCGAUGUAGGUGUAAGUGAACACAUAUAACACAUCGAAAAAUAUGAG